rnacentral:rRNA from 1 species
GACAGAGGGUGCAAACGUUGUUCGGAAUUACUGGGCGUAAAGCGCGUGUAGGCGGCACGGCAAGUCGGAUGUGAAAGCCCGCGGCUCAACCGUGGAAGUGCACUCGAAACUGCCGAGCUAGAGUCUCGGAGAGGAAGGUGGAAUGCUUGGUGUAGAGGUGAAAUUCGUAGAUAUUCGGAAGAACACCAGUGGCGAAGGCGACUCACUGGACACAUAUUGACGCUGAGGUGCGAAAGCGUGGGGAGCAAACAGG